GAUCCUGGCUCAGGAUGAACGCUAGCUACAGGCUUAACACAUGCAAGUCGAGGGGCAUCGGGGAGGUAGCUUGCUAUCUCUGCCGGCGACCGGCGCACGGGUGAGUAACGCGUAUCCAACCUGCCGCAUAGUCGGGCACAGCCCUCUGAAAGGAGGAUUAAUGCCGGAUGUGGUCUUAGUGGGACAUCCCAUUAUGACUGAAGAUUUAUUGCUAUGCGAUGGGGAUGCGUCCGAUUAGCUUGUUGGCGGGGUAACGGCCCACCAAGGCGACGAUCGGUAGGGGCUCUGAGAGGAGGAUCCCCCACACUGGAACUGAGACACGGUCCAGACUCCUACGGGAGGCAGCAGUGAGGAAUAUUGGUCAAUGGAGGCAACUCUGAACCAGCCAAAGUAGCGUGAGGGACGACUGCCCUACGGGUUGUAAACCUCUUUUGUUCGGGAAUAAAGUGCGGGACGCGUCCCGCUUUGUAUGUACCGUACGAAUAAGCAUCGGCUAAUUCCGUGCCAGCAGCCGC
rnacentral:rRNA from 1 species